CAAUAGAUAAAUGAAUAUAUAAAGAAACCGCAAAGACUACAAUCAUGGUGUAAAGGGAAAGGAGAUAGAGAAAGAGAGAAAGAGAGCCCUUUGGUUGGUUCAGUCACCAGAGCCAGAGGGUAGAAAUAUUGUUUCAGGAAGGAGAGAAGAACCCAUAAUUCUCCCUCUCCAAUCAUGCCAUUUUUGAGGAUUGUUUGGCCUCUCCUUCCUGGAUUUAGGGUUUCGCAGCUAACAUCUCUGUCGUGGCGCUUGUAAAUGUAUCUUUGUAGACUGCUUCCUCCUUGGAUCUGUCAUAUUAUUGCAUGCAUGGGGUGAGCUUUUCGGUUCCUUUUACUAUGUAUGAAAGUACAUUCUGUUUGAUUCUGGAGAAAAAAUUUUGAUUUUUGACUUUUUCAACAGAAGAUUGAACGCCUAUAAUUCUUUUACUGUUCUAGUUUGCUUGCGUAAGCUUUCUGGUUCUGGAUCACUAAAUCAGAAGGAUUAAUUGUGUAGGUUCAGUUUACUUUUUAUUUGGUUUGGAAUCUUUUCUGUUUGCUUAAUCUGUAAGCUAGCUUGAGUGGAGUGAACAGAAAAGCAUGCUCUGUCUUUUAUUCUGUAUUAGUCAUUCUUUCCUUGAAGCAGUUGUCAAUCUUGUACCCUAAAGAUAGGAUUAUUCUUUAGCACAAGUUUCUGUGGUUACUGUAUUCUGGGUGUUGUUUCCCGAAAGAAACGGAGAGAUGAUUUGAGAAGUAACCUGGCUGUUCAUUUGUAUUCUUUUCUGGUGCUUGUUUCCAGGCUCUUUUGUUUGUAACUAUGGAAUCAUUUAAGAACAAAUGCAAGGAUAUUUUCAGUGUGAGGAAAUCUUUUUAUCUGUUUCCUUCUUUUUGAGUCUGAAUUUAUAUAGGACGGGAAUUUUGUUUUUGUUUGAAUAUAUACUUUGUUCAGCAAUAGCAAUGUAGUCGAGCUUGAACUGAACUUUGUUCCAGGUGUAUGAAUUUUUAGCAAUUAUUGUAUCCAGAUGGUAUUUGUAGAUUGUGUCCAUUAAGCUGGACACAUUUUCUUAUGGCAGGCCCAAACUGCUGUGUUACAAUUUAACUGGCUGUGUCUUCACAGACCUAGUAGAUAAUUAUUUUUGUGAAAAUUGGUGGAAAAUUUUGCUCCUUUAGUGAUGAAUUUGAUCGUAUUAAGUUCUGUUUAUUUUAGUGGAUACAGGUGCGGAAAUUUUUUUGGUGAUUUUUUCUGGCUUUGAUUGAUAAAGGAGAUGUAUCAUAUCUCUUCUCCUUCUCUUUAUUUUUCAGUUUUUUUUUUCUUUAAUCACAAUGAUAAUGGUGUGAUUUCAUGUUCUCUAAAUAUCUUGUUUAUGUUUAAGAGUUUUCCAUAUAGUUAUUUUAUGCUUGGGCCAAAUGAUGAGAUUCUGACUCAUGGAAUUUUUUUGCCACUUAUCAACUUGCUGAAGAAGAUGUAGAAUUUAACUUCUCUACCUUGCCACUGUCUUCUGUUGUGGUUGACUGACUGUUAUUUAUCAAAUGGCACUUUUAUGUUUUUUGAGGGAGGGAUUUAUUGUUCGCCAUAAGUUGACACAUCUGCAAGCUUGAGAUCCCCCAUCCCUUUUUGGUGAAGGGACCCACCAAGGGGUGGAGUCUUUCGGGAACUGUUUGUAUACCUGAAUGCUUAAUUUUAUUCUCUUGCAUAUUUUUUCUCUUUUCGUGCAUCAUCAUUUUUUAUUCAAGCUGCUAAACCUGAAGUGGGAUUCAGUUUGUUAACGUUUGGUGCUAAUCACGUCUACGGUGAAACCUGAUUUGUAACAGAGCAGAGGUUGUUUUGGAUGCUGUGCUAAACCUUCUACAAUUCUUGCGGUUGAUCACUCAUCAAAGGGUCUGAGAAUUCAAGACCAAACAGCAAAGCAAGACAGCAUUUCAGACGACUUUUGGAGCACCAGUGCAGGUGAAAUGGACUGUAGUGGACUACAAUCCCAAAGAAGUAUUUCAUCAAUCAGCACCUUGAAUCAGCCCCUUGAUCCCUAUACUAAUGCUGGCAGCACAAGCAAUCCUUCUGAAUUUGUAAAUCAUGGCCUUCUUCUUUGGAUGCAAACAAGGCAGCAAUGGCUUGCAAAUAAGAGGUCUCCAAGCAGGAAACAAGUUCGAGAACCAGCAAUAAGUUGGAAUGCCACUUACGAUAGUUUGCUUGGGAUAAACAAGCCUUUCCCCCGACCUGUCCCUCUUGGUGAAAUGGUGGAUUUUCUUGUUGACGUUUGGGAACAAGAGGGUUUGUAUGACUAAAUAAGCUGGAAAUUUUACAAGUGCUUUCUCCUUCCUUGAAUAUCGCCUAAAGGUUGCACCUAGCAAGGCUUAGUUCCAUUAGCUAAUGGCAUACCUCAAACUUAGCAGGUGUUAGGUUCUAGUCUCCUAAUUCCUCUGUAUGAUUAUUAUAGCCUUUUUUUUUUUUUUUUUUUU
rnacentral:misc_RNA from 1 species